GACACCUUGGCCGAGUGGUUAAGGCGACAGACUUGAAUACCCUUAUUCAGCUAUCUGUUGGGUUCGCCCGCGUAGGUUCAAAUCCUGCAGGUGUCG
rnacentral:tRNA from 1 species